rnacentral:sRNA from 2 species
GUGGGGGCAAAAGGGUUCUCGAACAUCCACCAGCGACUGGGUAGGUCGCAACCUUGGAAGCUACAGUGCUCCGAACGCUGCACAAAAUGCCAUCGAAGAUGAGACAAGCUAUUUCGAUGAUGAAUUAUGUCGAAGAAAAUGGGUGUUUGAAUCGGGUUUUUGAUGCCUUAAUUCGCUAGCAUAGCCGUCCGCCCACACCAGGCCACCAAAUGAUACGCAUCAUCACUACUGCCAAGUCAAAUCCAGUCAAAUCACCACCAAGAAAUAGUCGCCUCCUCGACGAAUAAUCCGUUUCAGCCCCAAUAAUAGUUCAUUUGUUAGAGUCCGUGACAAGUCGCAAAAUAAAUAAACCCCACAAAAUGUAACUGUAGUGUACCCAGCCAAUCCGCGCACUUGUCUUCGGGAGAAAAGGGAAGAGAAGGAAAAUAGAAAUAAGAAAGAGAG